CAGAUUGAACGCUGGCGGAAUGCUUUACACAUGCAAGUCGAACGGCAGCACGGGGGCAACCCUGGUGGCGAGUGGCGAACGGGUGAGUAAUACAUCGGAACGUGCCCAGUCGUGGGGGAUAACUACGCGAAAGCGUAGCUAAUACCGCAUACGAUCUACGGAUGAAAGCGGGGGAUCGCAAGACCUCGCGCGAUUGGAGCGGCCGAUGGCAGAUUAGGUAGUUGGUGGGUAAAGGCUCACCAAGCCUGCGAUCUGUAGCUGGUCUGAGAGGACGACCAGCCACACUGGGACUGAGACACGGCCAGACUCCGUACGGGAG
rnacentral:rRNA from 1 species